UACGUAGGGUGCAAGCGUUGUCCGGAAUUAUUGGGCGUAAAGAGCUCGUAGGCGGUUCGUCGCGUCGGCUGUGAAAUCCCGAGGCUCAACCUCGGGUCUGCAGUCGAUACGGGCGGACUGGAGUUCGGCAGGGGAGACUGGAAUUCCUGGUGUAGCGGUGAAAUGCGCAGAUAUCAGGAGGAACACCGGUGGCGAAGGCGGGUCUCUGGGCCGAUGACUGACGCUGAGGAGCGAAAGCGUGGGGAGCGAACGGG
rnacentral:rRNA from 1 species